ACACCGGCAGCUCAAGUGGUAGCCGCUUUUAUUGGGCCUAAAGCGUCCGUAGCCGGUCUGAUAAGUCUCUGGUGAAAUCCCACAGCUUAACUGUGGGAAUUGCUGGAGAUACUAUCAUGACUCGAGGUCGGGAGAGGCUGGAGGUACUCCCAGGGUAGGGGUGAAAUCCUGUAAUCCUGGGAGGACCACCUGUGGCGAAGGCGUCCAGCUGGAACGAACCUGACGGUGAGGGACGAAAGCCAGGGGCGCGAACCGGAUUAGAUACCCGGGUAGUCCUGGCCGUAAACGAUGUGGACUUGGUGUUGGGAUGGCUUCGAGCUGCCCCAGUGCCGAAGGGAAGCUGUUAAGUCCACCGCCUGGGAAGUACGGCCGCAAGGCUGAAACUUAAAGGAAUUGGCGGGG
rnacentral:rRNA from 1 species